UUGAAUCUCAGAAUGGGAUUUUUUUGGCAGAGCAUUCGAUAUGGGUUUUAUGGGAUUCCUGGAUGGUGCUUGGGCAGAGCUGAUCCUCAUGGUUGAUGCCCGGAAGCUCUACUUUUGUGCAACAAAUUGAAGUUAGAGAUGAUGAUAAGAAAGGUGUCCUUCUAUAUUCGUUUUCCAAGAAACCUGACUUGAGCUCCCUAGCAAAUUGGAGACUUGGAGUGUAUCAAACUACAUGAUUCUUACAUCCCACAGCCGCAAGAUUUUCCUUGUGGUUGAACAAUGGAUCAACAAUCCGUAUGGCAUAUGAGGCUCCAACUCGUGCUUUAAAUCGAUUGCAAGUGGUAAUGACGACAGAGAGAAAUAGGGAGGGAUGGCAGCUAGGGUUUGAGAUCAACUGGUAAAACGUAUAUUCGGUUUGAGCGGGUUCGACCCGCAAGCUAUUUCAAACCGCUUUUUGGUCGGGUCGGGUCGAGUCUUGCUGAAGGACCGGGUCACAACUUUAUUUGCAUAGGCGUAGUUGCCAUCCCAUCUUCAGCAACAAUUUUACACGUAUUCAAAAGCAGCAAACAGGGGCGUAUCUUAGAAUUUGUAUCAAAAUUACCAUUAUCUCAGGCAUCACUCUAUAUUAACCGAAACAAACCAAUAGACUCUGUGACUGCAAGAAUUAUUUCAUCAGAAACAGGCCCAGGAAUAGCUGAUGGCCUGCAAUACACAACAAACAUAUCACAAACAGACCAGCAAGACAUUUCAUGCUGAUGUAUUUAGGAAGUAGAACUGUGUGUGCGUGUCCAACAGUGACUUAAAACUCUCAAAAGAGAAGGCAUUACAUAAGAGACUCAUAUGGCACCGAGUGUCCAAGAAGAAAGUCCCAACUAAUCCCCGGGGUGAUUGUAGUCUAGCUAAUGUUCUUUUUAGUUUCUCAGUUGAAGCUUUAAUUUAUAUGUUUUUAUGGUGUACAAUGCUAAAUGGUCCAUCUGGUUUGCCUUUUGAACAGAUUGAUCCCUAUACUUUCAUAUCAAUAUUUUUUAAUUUUUUAUUA